AUGUGGCAGAGAUGGAGAAGUGCCCUAACAGAAAAGAAAUAUCACAGCAUGCUGAAGGAAAGAAAAGUUCCCCAAUACCCUUCCUGCUUAUUUUUCCAAUAUAUUACACAGCUGGGUCUGCUUUACCACAUCCUGUUUGAUUCCAGUGUUACCAACUUUUCCAUUAGAGCCAAACUAGACAUACUGCAAUCAGUGAUGAACUGUCUAUAUGCCAGGUGUAUCCUUGUAAAACUGAUUGUAUAAUGGCUGAAACUGAGAAAAAUGGGGCAGAAAUAUCAAGUGGCUUAAAGGAUCGCCAAGGAUCCGAAAUUUGAACAAUUACCAAACUACCAUGCACAGGAGGGAAUCUAUGCAGAUGAUCGCUUAGCACAGAGGGUAACUCGGCAUAAAUGCUGUAGCCACAAACCUGGGACCUUGAAAGAAGAACCCUAAGAUUCCUGGAGUUCCUAUCACGUACAUUUCUAACCACAGAUAGAACAUGGGAACUGAUGUCAGAUGAUUAUGGAGCCCCUCGGUUCUAAUAUUUGCCCAAGUUCGUCUGCCUUUCUUCCACCAACUUUCUCUUGUUGCCAGUUCAUUAAACAUGCAAUAGAAUGUUAUUCUGUUCAACUCAUUUGCCCUAUUAUCAGCUGAGUAUGGUUAAACCCACUCAAUUUUUCAUGCUGUUUUGAAAUUGAUAUUUUAUUGCAUUUAAAAAAUUUAAAUGAUGGUCAAAGAGUACAAUAUCUCCAACGGGAAGAAUACAUUUUAUAAAUUUUUUGAGUUCUGUUGCACCGUGUGGUGAAUAUAGUUAGUAGGGUAUUAUACAUUUCAAAAUUGCUAAGAGUAAAUUUCAAAUGUUCUCACUACAAAAUGCUAAGUAUUUGAAGUGAUGGAUAUGUUAACUAGCUUGAUUUAAUUAUUCCACAUUGUAUCCACAGAUUAUGACAUCAUUUUGUAACCCAUAAAUUUAUACAAUUGUAAAUUGCCAUUUACAGUAAGAAGUAAUUUGUUGCAUCUUUUUAAAAAAUAAAAUAAUUUUUUACAUC